GAUAAAACGUAGCGAAAUGCGAUACUUGGUGUGAAUUGCAGAAUCCCGUGAACCAUCGAGUCUUUGAACGCAAGUUGCGCCCGAAGCCAUCAGGUUGAGGGCACGUCUGCCUGGGCGUCACAUAUCGUUGCCCAAUGCCUAUUGCAGUGCAAUAGGAAUUUCUAGGGCGAAUGAUGGCUUCCCGUGAGCGUUGUUGCCUCGCGGUUGGUUGAAAAUCGAGUCCUUGGUAGGGUGUGCCAUGGUAGAUGGUGGUCGAGUUAGAACGAUACCGAUCAUGUGCAUGCUCCCCAAAAUAUGGCCUCUAUGACCCACACGCGUCUUUUGACGCUCAUGACGAGACCUCAGGUCAGGCGGGGCUACCCGCUGAAUUUAAGCAUAUCAAUAAGCGGAGGA
rnacentral:misc_RNA from 1 species